UAGAGACACUGACUUUUCAACAUGUUGCUGUCUGUGCUGAUGUUGCUGAUUGUGUCUGGUACACAAGGAAGUCAUUAUCUUGGCACUGUGGUGACCUACUAUACAAAGGAAACUUUUACAAAUGGUUCAGUCUCUGUGAUCGUUCGAUUUAAGUAUAACUUCAAAACCUGUGAUAAUGGUACAUUUGUUUGCACUGGCAACUGUGGUGAUGAAAGCUUAGUUGGUAAAAAAUACAAAGUUCAAACCAAUAUGUGGUGUCAGACUGAACAGAUCACAUCUCGACUGCUUCCCAACUAAUCUCCAUUUCAGCUUGUGUAUGAUAGUGGUAACUGGGUCACAAAUCUAUAUGACCUUACAUCAUGGAGAGCUGUAGCUGAAGUUGAACUGAGGAGUCGGUCCGACACCAACAAACCAAACUCAUCACCACAGACCACCAUCUUACCGGUUCUGAGGGUUCCUUCAAACUGUCUGAGAAAUAUUAAUCUCUUGGCCUUUGACCCUGAUGGAGACGAGGUUAUAUGCAGAUAUGCAAACCUUAGCAUGACAGAAUGUGCCUCACCCUGCACUCCUCCACCUGUUCUCAGCCUG